CUUGGGGAAAGUGUAGGGUUAACAGCCUGUUAAUGUGCAGUGGGACAAGCUGUCUGAAGGGCCUUGUGGGACUGAUCUUGCCUGUAUAAUGAUAUAUUUCUAAGUUUGUCCCUGGAAAUACCAUUUGUAGAGAGAACACGUAUAUUUACAAGUAUAGUGUUCUGUAGGCAGGCUGACCAGGUGGUUGUAAAACCACUGUGAGCUAUUCAGAAUUCGUUCAUAUGAUACUGCAGCCACACACAUGCAGCUAUGCAUUCAGCAUACCCUGCAUUUUCAUGAGGAGAAUUGUGGCAUGCUGGGGUGCUUCAGGAAGAAUGUUGCCAGCAGGUCAGUU